rnacentral:rRNA from 1 species
GCGAAUGGUGGAUGCCUUGACUGGUAAAGGCGAUGAAGGACGUACUAGACUGCGAUAAGCUACGGGGAGCUGUCAAGAAGCUUUGAUCCGUAGAUUUCCGAAUGGGGCAACCCAAUGUAUAGAGAUAUACAUUACCUAUAUAGGAGCGAACGAGGGGAAUUGAAACAUCUUAGUACCCUCAGGAAAAGAAAUCAAUAGAGAUUGCGUCAGUAGCGGCGAGCGAAAGCGCAAGAGGGCAAACCCAGUGCUUGCACUGGGGGUUGUAGGACUGCAAUGUGCAAGAGGUAAGUUUAGCAGAACAUUCUGGAAAGUAUAACCAUAGAGGGUGAUAGUCCCGUAUGCGAAAAACAAACCUUAGCUAGCAGUAUCCUGAGUAGGGCGGGACACGAGGAAUCCUGUCUGAAUCCGGGUCGACCACGAUCCAACCCUAAAUACUAAUACCAGAUCGAUAGUGCACAAGUACCGUGAGGGAAAGGUGAAAAGAACUGAGGUGAUCAGAGUGAAAUAGAACCUGAAACCAUUUGCUUACAAUCAUUCAGAGCCCUAUGUAGCAAUACAGGGUGAUGGACUGCCUUUUGCAUAAUGAGCCUGCGAGUUGUGGUGUCUGGCAAGGUUAAGCAAACGCGAAGCCGUAGCGAAAGCGAGUCUGAAUAGGGCGCUUAGUCAGAUGCUGCAGACCCGAAACGAAGUGAUCUAUCCAUGAGCAAGUUGAAGCUAGUGUAAGAACUAGUGGAGGACUGAACCCAUAGGCGUUGAAAAGCCCCGGGAUGACUUGUGGAUAGGGGUGAAAGGCCAAUCAAACUUCGUGAUAGCUGGUUCUCUCCGAAAUAUAUUUAGGUAUAGCGUUGUGUCGUAAUAUAAGGGGGUAGAGCACUGAAUGGGCUAGGGCAUACACCAAUGUACCAAACCCUAUCAAACUCCGAAUACCUUAUAUGUAAUCACAGCAGUCAGGCGGCGAGUGAUAAAAUCCGUCGUCAAGAGGGAAACAACCCAGACUACCAGCUAAGGUCCCUAAAUCUUACUUAAGUGGAAAACGAUGUGAAGUUACUUAAACAACCAGGAGGUUGGCUUAGAAGCAGCCAUCCUUUAAAGAAAGCGUAAUAGCUCACUGGUCUAGUGAUUUUGCGCGGAAAAUAUAACGGGGCUAAAGUAAGUACCGAAGCUGUAGACUUGCACACAACUUAGAUUAUUUAAGUUUAGAAUAUGAGAAACUAAGUUAUAUGUUUAGUUAUAUUUUUACUGAUUUUUAUAGAGUAAAGAUAGAAAUAAAACUUAGUAAAAUCAGUAAAAAUAUUCUUAGACUAAAGUUAAGUAGUUUAAGUUGUGUGCAAGUGGUAGGAGAGCGUUCUAUUUGCGUCGAAGGUAUACCGGUAAGGAGUGCUGGAGCGAAUAGAAGUGAGCAUGCAGGCAUGAGUAGCGAUAAUUAAUGUGAGAAUCAUUAACGCCGUAAACCCAAGGUUUCCUACGCGAUGCUCGUCAUCGUAGGGUUAGUCGGGUCCUAAGUCGAGUCCGAAAGGGGUAGACGAUGGCAAAUUGGUUAAUAUUCCAAUACCAACAUUAGUGUGCGAUGGAAGGACGCUUAGGGCUAAGGGGGCUAGCGGAUGGAAGUGCUAGUCUAAGGUCGUAGGAGGUUAUACAGGCAAAUCCGUAUAACAAUACUCCGAGAACUGAAAGGCUUUUUGAAGUCUUCGGAUGGAUAGAAGAACCCCUGAUGCCGUCGAGCCAAGAAAAGUUUCUAAGUUUAGCUAAUGUUGCCCGUACCGUAAACCGACACAGGUGGGUGGGAUGAGUAUUCUAAGGCGCGUGGAAGAACUCUCUUUAAGGAACUCUGCAAAAUAGCACCGUAUCUUCGGUAUAAGGUGUGGUUAGCUUUGUAUUAGGAUUUACUCCGAAAGCAAGGAAACUUACAACAAAGAGUCCCUCCCGACUGUUUACCAAAAACACAGCACUCUGCUAACUCGUAAGAGGAUGUAUAGGGUGUGACGCCUGCCCGGUGCUCGAAGGUUAAUUGAUGGGGUUAGCAUUAGCGAAGCUCUUGAUCGAAGCCCGAGUAAACGGCGGCCGUAACUAUAACGGUCCUAAGGUAGCGAAAUUCCUUGUCGGUUAAAUACCGACCUGCAUGAAUGGCGUAACGAGAUGGGAGCUGUCUCAAAGAGGGAUCCAGUGAAAUUGUAGUGGAGGUGAAAAUUCCUCCUACCCGCGGCAAGACGGAAAGACCCCGUGGACCUUUACUACAGCUUGACACUGCUACUUGGAUAAGAAUGUGCAGGAUAGGUGGGAGGCUUUGAGUAUAUGACGCCAGUUGUAUAUGAGCCAUUGUUGAGAUACCACUCUUUCUUAUUUGGGUAGCUAACCAGCUUGAGUUAUCCUCAAGUGGGACAAUGUCUGGUGGGUAGUUUGACUGGGGCGGUCGCCUCCCAAAUAAUAACGGAGGCUUACAAAGGUUGGCUCAGAACGGUUGGAAAUCGUUCGUAGAGUAUAAAGGUAUAAGCCAGCUUAACUGCAAGACAUACAAGUCAAGCAGAGACGAAAGUCGGUCUUAGUGAUCCGGUGGUUCUGUGUGGAAGGGCCAUCGCUCAAAGGAUAAAAGGUACCCCGGGGAUAACAGGCUGAUCUCCCCCAAGAGCUCACAUCGACGGGGAGGUUUGGCACCUCGAUGUCGGCUCAUCGCAUCCUGGGGCUGGAGCAGGUCCCAAGGGUAUGGCUGUUCGCCAUUUAAAGCGGUACGCGAGCUGGGUUCAGAACGUCGUGAGACAGUUCGGUCCCUAUCUGCCGUGGGCGUAAGAAGAUUGAAGAGAUUUGACCCUAGUACGAGAGGACCGGGUUGAACAAACCACUGGUGUAGCUGUUGUUCUGCCAAGAGCAUCGCAGCGUAGCUAAGUUUGGAAAGGAUAAACGCUGAAAGCAUCUAAGCGUGAAGCCAACUCUAAGAUGAAUCUUCUCUAAGCUCUCUAGAAGACUACUAGUUUGAUAGGCUGGGUGUGUAAUGGAUGAAAGUCCUUUAGCUGACCAGUACUAAUAGAGCGUUUGGCUUAUCUUUAAUAAAGCAU